CGGGGUGUGGCGCAGCUUGGUAGCGCGCGUCGUUCGGGACGACGAGGUCGCAGGUUCAAAUCCUGUCACCCCGAC
rnacentral:tRNA from 4 species